UACGGGGGGGGCAAGCGUUGUUCGGAAUUACUGGGCGUAAAGGGCGCGUAGGCGGUUGGAUAAGUCAGCUGUGAAAACCACGGGCUUAACUCGUGGCCUGCAGUUGAGACUGUCUGGCUUGAGUGUGGGAGAGGAGAGUGGAAUUCCUGGUGUAGCGGUGAAAUGCGUAGAUAUCAGGAGGAACACCGGUGGCGAAGGCGGAUCUCUGGGCCGAUACUGACGCUGAGGAGCGAAAGCGUGGGGAGCGAACAGG
rnacentral:rRNA from 1 species